CCGGUAAACGGCGGCCGUAACUAUAACGGUCCUAAGGUAGCGAAAUUCCUUGUCGGGUAAGUUCCGACCUGCACGAAUGGCGUAAUGAUGGCCAGGCUGUCUCCACCCGAGACUCAGUGAAAUUGAACUCGCUGUGAAGAUGCAGUGUACCCGCGGCAAGACGGAAAGACCCCGUGAACCUUUACUAUAGCUUGACACUGAACAUUGAGCCUUGAUGUGUAGGAUAGGUGGGAGGCUUUGAAGUGUGGACGCCAGUCUGCAUGGAGCCGACCUUGAAAUACCACCCUUUAAUGUUUGAUGUUCUAACGUUGGCCCGUAAUCCGGGUUGCGGACAGUGUCUGGUGGGUAGUUUGACUGGGGCGGUCUCCUCCUAAAGAGUAACGGAGGAGCACGAAGGUUGGCUAAUCCUGGUCGGACAUCAGGAGGUUAGUGCAAUGGCAUAAGCCAGCUUGACUGCGAGCGUGACGGCGCGAGCAGGUGCGAAAGCAGGUCAUAGUGAUCCGGUGGUUCUGAAUGGAAGGGCCAUCGCUCAACGGAUAAAAGGUACUCCGGGGAUAACAGGCUGAUACCGCCCAAGAGUUCAUAUCGACGGCGGUGUUUGGCACCUCGAUGUCGGCUCAUCACAUCCUGGGGCUGAAGUAGGUCCCAAGGGUAUGGCUGUUCGCCAUUUAAAGUGGUACGCGAGCUGGGUUUAGAACGUCGUGAGACAGUUCGGUCCCUAUCUGCCGUGGGCGCUGGAGAACUGAGGGGGGCUGCUCCUAGUACGAGAGGACCGGAGUGGACGCAUCACUGGUGUUCGGGUUGUCAUGCCAAUGGCACUGCCCGGUAGCUAAAUGCGGAAGAGAUAAGUGCUGAAAGCAUCUAAGCACGAAACUUGCCCCGAGAUGAGUUCUCCCUGACUCCUUGAGGGUCCUGAAGGAACGUUGAAGACGACGACGUUGAUAGGCCGGGUGUGUAAGCGCAGCGAUGCGUUGAGCUAACCGGUACUA
rnacentral:rRNA from 1 species